GUCCUAAAAAGAAGCCUCAAAAGGGAAGCCGGUGAGAGUCCGGAACUGUGCCCGCAGCUGUGAACUCCUUAACGGUCCGGGAAAAAUGCCAUUGCCAUUGCGGUGAGAAGGCCCCGCGCCGGGAGCAGUCAGAAGACCUGCCUUGUCAAGUU
rnacentral:ncRNA from 1 species